rnacentral:rRNA from 1 species
GGACGGGUGAGUAACACGUGGAAACAUGCCCUUUACUGUGGGAUAGUCACUGGAAACGGUGGAUAAUACCACAUACGCCCUACGGGGGAAAGAUUUAUCGGUAAAGGAUUGGUCCGUCGUUGGAUUAGGUUGUUGGUGGGGUAAUGGUCUACCAAGCCGACGAUCCAUAGCUGGUCUGAGAGGACGAUCAGCCACACUGGGACUGAGAUACGGCCCAGACUCCUACGGGAGGCAGCAGUGAGGAAUAUUAGACAAUGGGGGAAACCCUGAUCUAGCCAUGCCGCGUGAUUGAUGAAGGCCUUAGGGUUGUAAAAAUCUUUCGCUAGGGAUGAUAAUGACAGUACCUAGUAAAGAAGCCCCGGCUAACUCCGUGCCAGCAGCCGCGGUAAUACGGAGGGGGCUAGCGUUGUUCGGAAUUACUGGGCGUAAAGCGCGCGUAGGCUGAUUACUCAGUCAGGGGUGAAAUCCCGGAGCUCAACUCCGGAACUGCCCUUGAUACUGGUAAUCUAGAGGUCGAGAGAGGUGGGUGGAAUUCCGAG